rnacentral:rRNA from 1 species
CUUGCUCUUAUGGGUGGCGAGUGGGGAAGGGUGAGGAAUACAUCGGAAUCUACUCUUUCGUGGGGGAUAACGUAGGGAAACUUACGCUAAUACCGCAUACGACCUACGGGUGAAAGCGGAGGACCUUCGGGCUUCGCGCGAUUGAAUGAGCCGAUGUCGGAUUAGCUAGUUGGCGGGGUAAAGGCCCACCAAGGCGACGAUCCGUAGCUGGUCUGAGAGGAUGAUCAGCCACACUGGAACUGAGACACGGUCCAGACUCCUACGGGAGGCAGCAGUGGGGAAUAUUGGACAAUGGGCGCAAGCCUGAUCCAGCCAUGCCGCGUGGGUGAAGAAGGCCUUCGGGUUGUAAAGCCCUUUUGUUGGGAAAGAAAAGCAGUCGGUUAAUACCCGAUUGUUCUGACGGUACCCAAAGAAUAAGCACCGGCUAACUUCGUGCCAGCAGCCGCGGUAAUACGAAGGGUGCAAGCGUUACUCGGAAUUACUGGGCGUAAAGCGUGCGUAGGUGGUGGUUUAAGUCUGUUGUGAAAGCCCUGGGCUCAACCUGGGAAUUGCAGUGGAUACUGGGUCACUAGAGUGUGGUAGAGGGUAGCGGAAUUCCCGGUGUAGCAGUGAAAUGCGUAGAGAUCGGGAGGAACAUCCGUGGCGAAGGCGGCUACCUGGACCAACACUGACACUGAGGCACGAAAGCGUGGGGAGCAAACAGGAUUAGAUACCCUGGUAGUCCACGCCCUAAACGAUGCGAACUGGAUGUUGGGUGCAAUUUGGCACGCAGUAUCGAAGCUAACGCGUUAAGUUCGCCGCCUGGGGAGUACGGUCGCAAGACUGAAACUCAAAGGAAUUGACGGGGGCCCGCACAAGCGGUGGAGUAUGUGGUUUAAUUCGAUGCAACGCGAAGAACCUUACCUGGUCUUGACAUCCACGGAACUUUCCAGAGAUGGAUUGGUGCCUUCGGGAACC